UCCCUGGAGGACUAGUGGUUAGGCCUCGGUGCUCUCACCGCUGUGGCCCGAGUUCGAGUCCCAGCCAGGGAA
rnacentral:tRNA from 1 species